rnacentral:rRNA from 1 species
AUGAACGCUGGCGGCGUGCCUAAUCCAUGCAAGUCGAGCGAACAGACGAGGAGCUUGCUCCUCUGACGUUAGCGGCGGCCGGGUGAGUAACACGUGGAUAACCUACCUAUAAGACUGGGAUAACUUCGGGAAACCGGAGCUAAUACCGGAUAAUAUAUUGAACCGCAUGGUUCAAUAGUGAAAGACGGUUUUGCUGUCACUUAUAGAUGGAUCCGCGCCGCAUUAGCUAGUUGGUAAGGUAACGGCUUACCAAGGCAACGAUGCGUAGCCGACCUGAGAGGGUGAUCGGCCACACUGGAACUGAGACACGGUCCAGACUCCUACGGGAGGCAGCAGUAGGGAAUCUUCCGCAAUGGGCGAAAGCCUGACGGAGCAACGCCGCGUGAGUGAUGAAGGUCUUCGGAUCGUAAAACUCUGUUAUUAGGGAAGAACAAAUGUGUAAGUAACUAUGCACGUCUUGACGGUACCUAAUCAGAAAGCCACGGCUAACUACGUG